rnacentral:misc_RNA from 1 species
AAAGUCGUAACAAGGUUUCCGUAGGUGAACCUGCGGAAGGAUCAUUAAACCUUAUACUUCGGGGGGGCCGGCGUUGAAUAGCAGUUCCAUCGCGGAUCGGCUGUUCUCCCCGCCCUGUCUGAACAUUACCCAUGCUUUUUGCGUACCCAUUGUUUCCUCGGCAGGCUUGCCUGCCAGCAGGACCCCCUUACAACCUUUUGCAAUUGCAGUCAGCGUCAGAAGAAAACGUAAUAGUUACAACUUUCAACAACGGAUCUCUUGGUUCUG